GCGGUGUCCCAUACCGACCUAGAGGAGCCUGUCCUAUAAUCGAUAAUCCACGUUACACCUCACCACCCCUUGCAAUUCAACCUAUAUACCGCCGUCGCCAGCCUACCUUGUGAAAGAAACCAUAGUAAGCUAAAUAGUUAAUAACUAACACGUCAGGUCAAGGUGUAGUAUAUGGAGUGGAAGAGAUGGGCUACACUUUCUAUUGCAGAACAUACGAAUAGCACGGUGAAACCUCUGCUUGAAGGCGGAUUUAGUAGUAAGAUCAACAAGAAACUUUAUCUGAAACCCGCUCUGGGACGCGCACACACCGCCCGUCACCCUCAUCACACCCGCAUAAACCUUAAAAUAUAAAACCCUAAUAAAACAGAUGAGGAAAGUCGUAACAUGGUAAGCGUACCGGAAGGCGCGCUUGGAGUAGACAAAUAGUAGCUUAAUAUAAAGCAUUCAACUUACAAUUGAAAUAUGUUAGUGAAAUACUAACCUUUUU
rnacentral:rRNA from 1 species